GGCGUGAAAAGCUGCAAGAUUUCAGAAGUAAUGCACACCGAUGGAAAACUGUAAGACGGCCAUGAAUUUUUGCAGCUGCAAUGCAUUGCAGCGGGUUGGACUAGAUGACCCUUGGUCACCAAUUCUACGGUCCUACAAUUCUUCGCAUGGCUGCCAAUCAUCACCGGUGCGCGGACAGGAUGUCGCUUGCGAAGGAGGGAAGACGCUCAAAGAAUGCCGUGGGGGGGGGAUGGGAGAGAGGGAAAUGUCUGGCUUUGACCUCUGCCCUCCCCUCCAAACCACCCCGGUCACCUUCCCUGACCUUGGGCGGACGGCAUGGGGGUUGUUUGAGGGAACAGGGGACCUCGGAGGGCGGUCAGAGAUGGGGAGCUGGAAUUAGCUCUCUCCCGCUACCUCCACCCCCCCCCCCGGGAACUUCACGCCUUCCCAAGGCCUUUCUGACCAGGGUGCUGAUUCUCAGCUGCCAUUGUUGACUGGCGCUGAUUCUCAGCUGCUAUUGUUGACCAGCCGAGGGAGGGAUGGGGAAUGGGGGACAGGUGCUCGGAGCCAGGAUAAGCCCAGGGGUGGGAUUAAGCGGCCGGAGGGGGGAGAUGGAGGUUUUGGCGAGGUUUGGGGAUUAACACCUGUUUUGUUUGUGGCACUAGGAUGCUUUCAGAUCAUUUCCUGGGCCCGGCUCUCUUUUGUCGCAGAGGAGGGGGCAGGAAGCGGUCCGUGCUGGCGUGCAAUGGCUGAUGGGGAGGGGGGAGCCCAAAAGGCCCAGGGAAGUGAGGGCUAAGAUGCUUUUUAGGUGGGGGUGGAUGGCAGCAGCUGGACUGGGGUGCUGAGUGGGACGGGUGCCUCACGGCAGGACAAAGGCAGGUGGAGCGCGAGAUUGCAGGGCUCGAUUUCGUUCUGACGCAUCCGCAGCCCUUUGUAUAUCCCGCGGAACUGUGGUGGUGCCUCUGCCACGGCCGAAUCUGCUUUUGCCGCAAGAUUCUAGUCCUCAUCGCUGGCACGGUUAAAGGAGGUGGCAAGGAAGAUCUUCUUGUGGCCGGUAGGUGGGCCUUAACCAUCCUGCAAAGCUUGUAGGAGCAGAAUAAUUUGUCAUUGAAUUUAUUUACGAUUAAACUGCAGUCUAUUCUGCUUCGUUCCUUCUGUACACAAGAUUCAUCUCUUCCUGGUGGAUAACUUUAUUUAUUGUUAUACUGCCCCUCAUCUGAAGAUCUCAGUGCGAUUCGGAGCAUUAAAAGGCAAAAUUAAUACACACAACUUAGACCAGGCACCCCAAACUUGGCCCUCCAGAUGUUUUGGGACUACAAUCCCCAUCAUCCCUGACCACUGGUCCUGUUAGCUAGGGGUGAUGGGAGUUGUAGUCCCAAAAUAUCUGGAGGGCUGAGUUUGGGGAUGCCUGACUUAGACUGAAAGAAGCCAUAUGGGGCAUAUCCUGGGCUUAAAACAGAUAUUCUGGCUUCUUCUCAGAUUGAAUAAAUCUUUCUCCUUUUAAAAUUGUAGAAGUUGUGACUCCCUGAUGCAGAAUUUUUGUCCUAUGAUGGCCAGGCACUUUGUCAGAUGGCCCUUGAGACUCUGAUGCGAGGGAACGGCACACGGCACAUGCUCAGAGGUCCCAUGAUGAACUGCCCCCAGUCUGGUUGCACACUGCAUUGGUAACAUACAGAUCCAGUGAGUAUUUGCUUUUAUUUAUUUAUUUUGCAAGAACUAUGGACGGUUUGAUUAUAACGAAACCUCAGGGUGGUUUACAGAAAGAAUAAAGCAAUGGGGGGGUGGAGUUUAAGGCAACUAUUUGAAACAUUCAGAAAAUAUAAUUGAAAUCAACGAUGCGCUAAAGAUAAUACUAAAGCAUGUGUCAACACACUACAUGUCCAGAUAGACUUUUUUCUUUCUUUCCAAAGGUGCCUUUAUUACCUGCGUAUUUUCCAACAGAUUUUCGGUUGUUAGCAAGGUGUCAUAUGCAAGUAAGCUUAUUUUCUGUUUUCCAUUUUUCCUUUUCCCUUUUGUAUUUCCAUCUUCUCUAAUUAUAUUGGCCAGAGAAUCAAUGCCCAAUACAAGUAAAAUUGGGGAAAGAGGGCAUCCUUGUCUUGUACCUCAGGCUAGUGUUCUUUGUUCUGUUAUACCAUCGUUCACUACAAUGGAUGGGUAAAAGGUAAAGGACCCCUGGAUGGUUAAGUCCAGUCAAAGGUGACUAUGGGGUUGCGGCACUCAUCUCGGCACUCAUCAUCGGCUCUCUCGGCUGAGAGAGCCGGCAUUUGUCCACACACAGCUUUCUGGGUCAUAUGGCCAGCAGGACUAAACUGCUUAUGGCGCAACGGGACACCGUGAUGGAAACCAGAGCACACAGAAACAUUGUUUACCUUCCCGCCGUAGCCGUACCUAUUUAUCUAGUUGGCAUGCUUUCGAACUGCUAGGUUGGCAGGAGCUGGGGCAGAGCAACGGGAGCUCACUCCGUCGUGGGGAUUCGAACCGCCAACCUUCUGACUGGCAAGCCCAAGAGGCUCAGUGGCUUAGACCACAGCACCACCCGCAUCCCGAAAUGGACUACAAUGGAUAGUCUUGCCUAAAACAACAGCGUUUUUAAGCAGAGCACAAAAAGAGCGCAGUGAAAGUGAAUUUCUGUUGUCAACAGGCAGGGAGUUCCAAUGAGUGGGAUAAUGCAGUUCGUUCGCACUCUUGCAUUCUUUUGUCCCUUGGGGUAAGGGCAGGAAAGGAUCAUGUUAUCUGGAACACCCAGCCCCCCAUUUUACCAAUACAACAUGAAGCCACAUGGUUUUCACAAGAAGACAGCAAAUGACUCAGACCAAAGUCACCGUCAUUACUUUGAGUGAGAACAAGAUGCUGUUGGUUCCCAUUUUCUGCUCAUUUUCUGUAUCACCCAAGUGCCAACUAUGCCGGCCUGUUGAUUUUUUUAAAUAUUACAAACUUUGGCCAAGCUUGGGGUUCUGCUGAACAUACAGAGAGACUUUGCACCUCUGUGUCUUUAGUAACUAUCAUCCCCCCCAAAAAAAAUUGGCUAUUAGGAGUAAUCCCGGAGUAAAUUGCAGCAGAAUUGCAGGUACAAUAAACAAAGCGACUAGCAAAGCAAUAAAUAAUGGCAUACGAUAGGGUUGCCAUACGUCUGGAAUUUCCCAGACAUAGCUGGUAUUCAGCCCUUGCAAAUAAAGCUCAACAACUUAAUAACUUUUGUGUCUAUAUUUUCACUUUUUGAAAUAUGGCAACCCUAUAUAAGGAGAGCCUGCAGGAAGAGUUAAUUAUGGCCCAUCUAGACAUAGCGACUGGGACAUUCGCAGGGAAACCAAAAUGCUUGUUUACAAAGCUAUUGUACUACCAACCUUCCUGUAUGCUUGUGAAACAUGGACCACUUAUAAACGCCAUCUCCAACUCCUCGAAAGAUUCCAUCAAUGGUGUCUCCGAAAAAUUUUACAUAUCACUUGGGAAGGCAGGCGAACUAAUACCAGUGUACUGGAAGAAGCAAAGAUCACCAGUGUCAAAGCAAUGAUUCUUCAACAUCAACUUCGCUGGACUGGUCAUGUUGUGCGGAUGCCUGAAUAUCGUCUUCCAAAGCAACUACUAUAUUCCGAACUUAAAAAGGGGAAGUGUAACGCUGAUGGUCAAUAAAAGAGGUUUAAAAACUCUCAAGGCAAAUCUAAAAAAAAUGUAGUAUAAAACCAACAAUUGGGAAACACUGGCUUGCGAGCGCUCCAGUUGGAGAACAGCCAAAGGUGUCAUGGGCUUUGAAGACACUUGAACUCAGGAUGCAAGGCAGAAACAUGCUAGGAGGAAGGCACAUUUGGCAAACCUUCACCAUGAUCAACUAUCAUCUGAAAACCUACAUCCCCACUGUGGAAGGACAUGUGGAUCCAGAAUUGGCCUCCACAGUCACUUACGGACUCACUGUUAAGACUGUGUUCAUGGAAGACAAUCUUACUCGGCUACGAGUGAUCGCCAGAGAAGAAGAAGUAGAAGAAAAGAAGCCUAUAGAGAUGCUUGGGGAUACCCACAAGCAGGACCUGAGCACAACAGCACACUGUUUGCCUGUGGUUUCCAUCAACUGGGGUUCAAGAAAACUGUUGAAAACAGUUUUAAAAACAACUCGCAGUCACAACAAUCGGUUGGGUCCCAAAAAUAUGCACCUCAAGGGUUAAAAACCAGGAUAAAGUGUGUUUUCAGAAUCCUCCAGAAGUUGUAGAAUGACAGUGCAGGAUGCACCACUGUGGGGGAUACACUUUUUUCUUUUCUUUUUAAAAUCAAGUUUCCCCAAUACAAUGCAUGCUUGCAUGUUGUUUUCAGAAACAGAUGACCAAGUUUUGCUUUGUCUCCUUGUGUUGCAAGUUCCGGGAGUGGGAAGGGAAGGGAAUCUGCUUAAAAAUUAAACAGGGAAACGUUUGCAUUUUUAUGCACACUGUUUCACAUUUCUUCACUCUUUUUUCAGCUGGAGAACAACAUUGCAAAAUCCAUUUCGAAUGAGAGCUGCGGUUUUGUUUAAUGAAUUGCUCUGGGAAGUGUGGAGUGGGCAGUUUGAAUUUCUCCCCAACCCCCUGACAUCCCUACCGGAGACCUACAGGCCGCUUCUGUGGUCUGUCUGGACAGGUGCGUGAGAGGAAUGUGAGAAAGACACAACAACGCGGGAAGAGCCUUCUCUGGGGCCAUCUAGCCCAGCCUCUUCUUCUCACAGUGGCUAACCACAUGCCUAUUGGAAACCCGCCAGCAGGAUUUGAACACAAGAUCCUUCUCCCCUCCUGUGGUUUCCAGCACAACUGGCAUUCAGAAGUGUUGCUGCCUCUGACCAUAGUCCUCUCCUCCAUGAAUUUGUCCGGUCCUAUUUUAAUUUAAAAGAUAUUUAUUAAAUUUUCCAAUAAAAAGAACACAUCAAUAAAAGAUUAAACAUGAAAACAUAGAAAAGAAAUACACAAUUCAAAAAUACACAAUACAUAAUCCAAAAAAGAACAAAAAGAACAAAAAACAAAAGAAAAAAAAGAAGAAGAAAAAAGAAACAGUUAAAAACAAUAUCACCUUUUCAUCUCCAUUUUUAAGUUUACUUAUUUUCUGGACCUCCUCAUACCUCCCUCUUUUGUAUUCCAGUUCAAAUUGUUUGUCCAGCAAUUUCUUUCCCUCUUUUUUAAUCCCAAUCUUUAAUCUUAAUAUAAUAUAACAUUAAAAUUUUACCUCUUAAAAACCAAGUUUCCAUUUCCUUAAACUUUUUUAAUCCUAAUCCUUAAUCUUAAUCUAUCUAUAACUUUAAAUCCUGUACAGCUGGAAGCCACUUGUUUUCAAUCCAACAUCACUCUAACAUUCUUUAUGUCCGAUCCUAUUUUAAAGCCAUCCAAGUUUGUAGCCAUCUCUACCUCCUGCAGGAGGGAGUUCCACAGUUACGCGCUGCGUAGUUUUCCUUCCACCUGUCCUGAAUCUUCCAAAAUUUAGCUUUGCUGGAUGCCACCAAGCUCUAAUAUUGUGAGAGAGGAAUUUCAUUUCAUUUCAUAUUUUAUUUUUAUGCUGCUCAUCUGACUGGGUCGCCCCAGCCACUCUGGGCAGCUUCGAACAAAUCAAAACAUCUAACAUUAAACAUCUAACACAGUAAAACAUCUAACAUUUUCCAACAGGAAAGCCCAAAAUAACUUUUGUAAAAAACACACACACACAAAAAAAAAAACCCCAGAAGCUUUUCUUUUGGAAAUUAUAGGGACAGAACUACCUAAAUUCUAUAGAAAUUUAUUCAUGUACUGUAUGCUACUACAGUAGCAAGAAUGCUACGUGCCCCAAAAUGGAAAUAACAGAAGUCCCAGCAAAGGAAGAAUGGAUACAAAAACUUAUGGAAUAUGUGGAAAUGGUGAAACUUACCGGAAGAAUAAGAAAUCAAGAUAACAAACGUUUUAUAAAAGAAUGGAAAUGGUUUAUUGAAUAUUUACAGAAAAAAUUGUAAACAGAUAAAAACAUUGGCAGGGUUAUUGUAAUAACCUGCAGAUUCAUAAAAGUAUAUAUUGUAAGCAGAUAAUUAAAUGAGCAAAUUUAAUGAAUUUGGAUAUGCAGGAAAUAUUUUUUAAAAAUUAAAAUUAAGGAUCUGCGGGAAGAGGGGGAAGGAAGUCCAACUGCGAAAUGUUAAAUCAAUUGUGAAACUAAUGAAAUGUAUAAACUUGGGAAAGUAUG